rnacentral:rRNA from 1 species
ANUNNCCNAANUANNANCCNCUUGGNCNNNCNUAAUUUUUAGGNAAGGAUUGGGUUUCCCAAUUUAAGUUUANNGGNNGUUUUNAAANGCCGGAAAGGUUUUCCCCNGGGANNUNUNUCNGNAAUAANANGAUUUCCNNUUUNANANGGAAGUUAANCCUNNANNCGAAUUAAACGGUUUNAGGGGUCGCUCCACNUAACGGGUUUUGCUUCCUUCUGUUGAACGCCAUUGUAUUACGUNUGUAGCCCAGGAACAUAAGGGGCAUGAAUAAUUUGACGUCGGUCCCCACCUUCCUCCGGUUUNCAACGGCAAGUCUCGNUAGAGUGCUCUUGCGUAGCAACUAACAAUAGGGGUUGCGCUUCGUUGCGGGACUUAAACCAACAUCUCACGACACGAGCUGACGACAACCAUGCACCACCUGUCUCUGCUUUCCCCGAAGGGCACCUGACGUAUCUCUACCUCGUUAGCAGGAUGUCAAGCCCUGGUAAGGUUCUUCGCGUUGCUUCGAAUUAAACCACAUAAUCCACCGCUUGUGCGGGCCCCCGUCAAUUCCUUUGAGUUUCAACCUUGCGAUCGUACUCCCCAGGUGCAAUACUUAUUGUGUUAACUGCGGCACGCAGGGGGUCAGUCCCCGCACACCUAGUAUUGAUCGUUUACAGCGUGGACUACCAGGGUAUCUAAUCCUGUUUGCUCCCCACGCUUUCGCGCCUCACCGUCAGUUAUCGUCCAGUAAUCCGCCUUCGCCACUGGUGUUCUUCCUUAAUUACGAUUUCCCCGGCUACACAAGGAUUCCGAUUACCUCUCCGACACUCAAAAAGCAGUUCAAAUGCAGUUUGGAGGUUGAGCCUCCAAUUUCAAUNUGACUUGCUUCCCGGUACACGCCCUUNACACCCAGUAAUCCGACAACGCUUCCACCUACGAUUACCGCGGCUGCUGGCACGUAGUAGCCGUGGCUUAUUCAAGGGGACCGUCUUCUACUCUUCCCCCUUAAAAGAAGUUUACAACCCGAAAGCUUCUUCCUUCACGCGGCGUUGCUGGGUCAGACUUGCGUCCAUUGCCCAAUAUUCCCCACUGCUGCCUCCCCGUAGAGUCUGGGCCGUAUCUCAGUCCCAAUGUGGCCGGUCAACCUCUCAGUCCGGCUACUGAUCGUCGACUUGGUAGGCCGUUACCCCACCAACUAUCUAAUCAGACGCGAGGCCAUCUUUCAGCGAUAAAUCUUUGACAUUCAAGCGAUGCCACCCGAAUGUGUUAUGCGGUAUUAGCAGUCGUUUCCAACUGUUGUCCCCCUCUGAAAGGCAGGUUCCUCACGCGUUACUCA